AUGUGCGGCGGCGCCAUCCUCUCCGACAUCAUCCCGCCGCCGCGCCGGGCCACCGGCGGCAACGUCUGGCGGGCGGACAAGAAGAAGCGGGCCAGGGCCGAUGCCGCCGCGGGGAGGCCCCGCCGCGCGCCCGAGGAGUUCGAGGAGGAGGGCGACGCGGAGUUCGAGGCCGACUUCGAGGGGUUCGUGGAGGCGGAGGAGGAGUCCGACGGCGAGGGCAAGCCCUUCCCCGUCCGCAGGAGCGGCUUCUCCGGAGAUGGAUUGAAGGCAACUGCUGCUGGUGAUGAUGACUGUGCUUCAGGGUCUGCUAAAAGGAAGAGAAAGAACCAGUUCAGGGGCAUCCGCCGCCGCCCUUGGGGUAAAUGGGCUGCUGAAAUAAGAGAUCCUCGCAAGGGUGUCCGUGUCUGGCUUGGCACUUACAACUCUGCCGAGGAAGCUGCCAGAGCCUAUGAUGUUGAAGCUCGCAGAAUUCGUGGCAAGAAGGCAAAGGUCAAUUUCCCAGAAGAAGCUCCUAUGGCUCCUCAGCAACGCUGCGCUACCUCUGUGAAGGUGCCUGAGUUCAACACCGAACAGAAGCCAGUACUCAAUACCAUGGGCAACGCAGAUGUGUAUUCCUGCCCUGCUGUUGACUACACCAUAAAUCAGCAAUUUGUGCAGCCUCAGAACAUGUCGUUUGUGCCUACAGUGAAUGCAGUUGAGGCCCCUUUCAUGAAUUUUUCUUCUGACCAGGGGAGCAACUCCUUUAGUUGCUCAGACUUCAGCUGGGAGAAUGAUAUCAAGACCCCCGACAUAACAUCUGUGCCUGCAUCCAUUCCCACCUCAACAGAGGUCAAUGAAUCUGCAUUUCUCCAGAACAACGGCAUUAAUUCAACGGUACCUCCUGUGAUGGGUGAUGCUAAUGUUGAUCUUGCCGACUUGGAGCCAUACAUGAAGUUCCUGAUGGACGAUGGUUCAGAUGAGUCAAUUGACAGCAUUCUAAGCUGUGAUGUACCCCAGGACGUGGUCGGCAACAUGGGCCUUUGGACCUUCGAUGACAUGCCCUUGUCUGCUGGUUUCUACUGA
rnacentral:rRNA from 1 species